AGUGAAUGCUGGCGGUAGGCCUAACACAUGCAAGUCGAACGGCAGCACAGUAAGAGCUUGCUCUUACGGGUGGCGAGUGGCGGACGGGUGAGGAAUACAUCGGAAUCUACUUUUUCGUGGGGGAUAACGUAGGGAAACUUACGCUAAUACCGCAUACGACCUACGGGUGAAAGCAGGGGAUCUUCGGACCUUGCGCGAUUGAAUGAGCCGAUGUCGGAUUAGCUAGUUGGCGGGGUAAAGGCCCACCAAGGCGACGAUCCGUAGCUGGUCUGGGAGGAUGAGCAGCCACACUGGAACUGAGACACGGUCCAGACUCCUACGGGAGGCAGCAGUGGGGAAUAUUGGACAAUGGGCGCAAGCCUGAUCCAGCCAUACCGCGUGGGUGAAGAAGGCCUUCGGUUUGUAAAGCCCUUUUGUUGGGAAAGAAAAGCAGCAGGUUAAGACCCCGCUGUUCUGACGGUACCCAAAGAAUAAGCACCGGCUAACUUCGUG
rnacentral:rRNA from 1 species